UAGGGAAUCUUCGGCAAUGGACGGAAGUCUGACCGAGCAACGCCGCGUGAGUGAAGAAGGUUUUCGGAUCGUAAAGCUCUGUUGUAAGAGAAGAACGAGUGUGAGAGUGGAAAGUUCACACUGUGACGGUAUCUUACCAGAAGGGGACGGCUAACUACGUGCCAGCAGCCGCGGUAAUACGUAGGUCCCGAGCGUUGUCCGGAUUUAUUGGGCGUAAAGCGAGCGCAGGCGGUUAGAUAAGUCUGAAGUUAAAGGCUGUGGCUUAACCAUAGUAGGCUUUGGAAACUGUUUAACUUGAGUGCAAGAGGGGAGAGUGGAAUUCCAUGUGUAGCGGUGAAAUGCGUAGAUAUAUGGAGGAACACCGGUGGCGAAAGCGGCUCUCUGGCUUGUAACUGACGCUGAGGCUCGAAAGCGUGGGGAGCAAACAGGAUUAGAUACCCUGGUAGUCCACGCUGUAAACGAUGAGUGCUAGGUGUUAGACCCUUUCCGGGGUUUAGUGCCGUAGCUAACGCAUUAAGCACUCCGCCUGGGGAGUACGACCGCAAGGUUG
rnacentral:rRNA from 1 species